rnacentral:rRNA from 1 species
CUGCUGCCUCCCGUAGGAGUUUGGACCGUGUCUCAGUUCCAAUGUGGGGGACCUUCCUCUCAGAACCCCUAUCCAUCGAUGCCUUGGUGGGCCGUUACCCCGCCAACAAGCUAAUGGAACGCAUCCCCAUCGAUGACCGAAAUUCUUUAAUAGUUCUUCCAUGCGGAAGAACUAUGCCAUCGGGUAUUAAUCUUUCUUUCGAAAGGCUAUCCCCGAGUCAUCGGCAGGUUGGAUACGUGUUACUCACCCGUGCGCCGGUCGCCA